AUCUCAAAUCGGGCAGGAACACCCGCUGAACUUAAGCAUAUCAUUAAGCGGAGGAAAAGAAACUAACUAGGAUUCCCUCAGUAGCGGCGAGCGAAGCGGGAAAAGCUCAAGAUGUUGAAUCCGUAAAUGUCAUUUACGGAAAUGUAGUCUGGAGGGGCGCGAACGGGAUAAACCUAAAACGUAAGUUUCCUGGAAUGGAACACCAGAGAGGGUGACAGUCCCGUAUGUAGUGAUAAAGGAGAAAUUCUUUUUACGCGCCCUGGUCGAGUCGGGUUGCUUGGGAGUGCAGCCUAAAUUGGGUGGUAUACUUCAUCCAAAGCUAAAUACGGGCGAGAGACCGAUAGCGAACAAGUACCGUGAGGGAAAGAUGAAAAGAACUUUGGAAAAAGAGUGAAAUAGUGCUUGAAACCGUUGGGAGGAAAGCGAAUGGAGCUUAUAGUGCAGAUCGAGAAGUCUCAAGCCGGCAUUGCGAUUGGUUCCGGCGUAGUGAUCUCGAAUCUACGUUUGCAUUUAUAGUUUCUUUUUUUUGAACGAGAGGUUCACAUAUCGUGCGUUGCUUUUUUUCUUUACUCAGAAAUGAGGAAAAAAAGACAAGCUGUAUGGAU
rnacentral:rRNA from 1 species